GGUUAUUACGCGCAAAUUGGAUACCCGACUUGCUAGCAUACAUAUGGACGCAAAUUCGUAACUAAGUGGAUUUUAGUGCAACGAAUUAUGAAGUUUCAAGUUUACUAUGAAGACGAUGUCAUCUGUAUUUUGGAGGGUUUGAUCCAUAUAUCCCGUCUUCGAACGGGGCAUAGGAUGUAAAACCUCGUUAUUUCAAAAACUUUAUUUUGCACAAGUCUUGUUUGUAAAACUUAUAAACUUAUGUUGUCUUUUGCUACAAAACAACUUAUGACUUGUAUCUUUACAUUAUGGAAUGGAUGAACAUCGUGUAUGUUUU